AGCUUCAGCAUCUGUUUGUUGGUAUUGAUAGAUAUUUAGUCAGUACACUAGAGGAGAUUAAGGACAGGCUGACUAUGCUGGAGAGAACAGUGGCAAAUAUCUCUCGAUCAAGCACAAAAGAGGUCACAUUGCCAGAUGACGUCAUAUUACCCCUCCAAAACUACCAGGACAUGGAUAUCUUGGAGCAAAAAUGGAAGAUCAUCAAUGUCGGAAAGACUUGACUGCCUAUCUAGGAACCAUUGGUGGGUGUAAUGUCCAGGUAGCAACUAGGAGAAUAUUGACAACAUUGAUUGGCCAUUCUUUAGCCACUCAAUUGAACUGGAAUGGCUCAAACCAAAAGAGACCUUUUCAGAACCUGAGUCUAA